rnacentral:rRNA from 1 species
ACUCAAAUGAAUUGACGGGGGCCCGCACAAGCGGUGGAGCAUGUGGUUCAAUUCGACGCAACGCGAAGAACCUUACCUGGGCUCGAACGGCUGGUCAACGCCGGUGGAAACAUCGGUACCCCGCAAGGGGGUCCAGUCGAGGUGCUGCAUGGCUGUCGUCAGCUCGUGUCGUGAGAUGUUGGGUUAAGUCCCGCAACGAGCGCAACCCUUGUCCUGUGUUGCCAUGUCGAAAGACGGAACUCGCAGGAGACCGCCAGGGAUAACCUGGAGGAAGGUGGGGAUGACGUCAAGUCCUCAUGGCCUUUAUGUCCAGGGCUACACACGUGCUACAAUGGACGGUACAAAGCGCAGCAAACCCGCGAGGGGGAGCCAAUCGCAAAAAACCGUUCUCAGUUCGGAUUGCAGGCUGCAACUCGCCUGCAUGAAGCUGGAAUCGCUAGUAAUGGCAGAUCAGCACGCUGCCGUGAAUACGUUCCCGGGCCUUGUACACACCGCCCGU